rnacentral:rRNA from 1 species
UACGUAGGGUGCAAGCGUUGUCCGGAAUUAUUGGGCGUAAAGAGCUCGUAGGCGGUCUGUUGCGUCGGCUGUGAAAACCCGGGGCUCAACUCCGGGCCUGCAGCCGAUACGGGCAGACUAGAGUUCGGCAGGGGAGACUGGAAUUCCUGGUGUAGCGGUGAAAUGCGCAGAUAUCAGGAGGAACACCGGUGGCGAAGGCGGGUCUCUGGGCCGACACUGACGCUGAGGCGCGAAAGCGUGGGGAGCAAACAGG